AGUCUGGGGCCCAUCGUCCCAAGAUGCGGAGCUGACUUUAAGGAUAGGGAGGGAGAGCCCGAGAACUAAGGGGCAAGAAGGGGACUAUGCUGCACUGAGGAUUGAGGGUGGUCGCUCACCCAGGCAGGUAGUUCUCGAUGGCUCAUGUAAAGAGUUUUCGUCGUGAGCCUCUCCUCAUCAUCCAGCAGCUGUCGCGCUACUCGAAGGCUCCGUUCUUUCUCCUCGCGGACCCGGCGCCAGCCCAGGUAGAGGGCGAGGCCGAAGAGCACAAAACCCACGCUGAGUCCUAUUGCCCCGGCCAGGUACACCGGCACCAGCACCAGCAACCGCCGCCCGAACGAAGUCAGCACCGCCAAGGCCUCACCCGCGGCGCCUGGGCCGGCAGUUUGCAGAACUGUGUAAGGAACAGUUUUCCAUCUGCCUCCUAUGUUCUCUGUAUUCUCAGAGAUGAGCAGGUAAAAAAGGAGCUCAAGGAGUUUGGAGGAGAUCAUCAGAUCCUCCUACUGAAGACAGUGUAUGGAGGACAAAAGCUCAUCCCCAGGAAGGUCUCUUCCCAGCUGGGGCCCAGGAGCCACAGAAUCAGCAGCUGCAAGGCACCGGAACAAGUAAACAAGAUGGGUCCCCGCCCAUUGACAAUUCUGCUGCCCAGGUGCCACCUGGUGGUGAUAAGCAGUAAGUGGGUAACAUGAAAAAGGAUGGCCAUUUGUUAGAGGAAGUGUCUCAGCGAGGAGAGCACUUAGACUUCCUGGUUUUGCAAUCUGCAUUUAUAUGUAAACUACAGCUGCCUCCCAGGGUUGGAUGUGGUAAUCUGGUCCCAGCCUACUCUCCAAGAUGGAAGGGGCAACGGGAUUUGAGGAAACUUCCUCUGUAUUAUUCCUUGUAAGUUACUGGAAAGUAGUGGUUCCAUUGCUGGAUGGCUAUCAUUAGAACUUUCUUAUGCCGAGUCUGGAGUCAGACUGCCUGAAGAGAUUCCUAGUUCCAUUCCUUACUAGUUGUGGAGACUUGGGUUGAUUACCCUCUUUAAGUCUUUCUCCUCUGCAAAACAAGUAUAAUAAUAAUGCCCAUUGUGUCAGUGAAAUAUUGCAUGUAAAGUGCCUAACACAGUACCUUGGUUUAUAUUAAGUACUCACAUGUUAGCAAUUUUUCUAGAACUCUCUGCUUAUUUCCUAUGCAGCAACACAGGACCUUUUUCUCCAUAAGGUAGCCCUUCAUAUAUCUGAAGACAUCUAUUUGGUCAACCCUCAGUCUUCUCUUGCCAGUUUUUUUCAGAUACCCCACUGGUUUGCCAAUGGCCCUCUGCAAAAACUAUUUAGAAGAACACACAAUACUUCAGAACUGGUUCCACUCAGAUAGACGUGGUAGAACUACUAUAUUUACAAUGCAGCACUAUGGUUCUUUUACCCUUAUGGAGUUUCUAGAAAGGUACCUAGAACAUAGCAGCCUCUUGAUAUUUAUUAACUGACAUAUUAUGAAGAAUAAGAUUUUAAUUUUUUGCAGCCAAUUGGAAGUCCCAUGUUGUUCUCACAUGAAUUAUUGCUAAUAUAGAUCUCUGCAUUUGUUUCUCAGAUAGGCUCAAGCAAUUUUUAGAGGGAAGGUCGGUCAGUCCAAAUUGACCCUUUGUAUUAAUUUAGUCAAUACAAGUUACAGACACUUUCCAUAUUACUUAGUGUUUCCUUGUGUUACUGUUGGUAACUGGGCUUUUCAUAUUUUUAUACAAUUAAAAAAAAAAAACCAUAGCCCUUGGGUAUAUCACUAGAGACUAGGGAUUUCUCUAACAUGAAUGUACUAGUCAACAUUUACUAGGCACAAAUGUUCAGUUUUGAUUCCAUCAAACUCUACUGUUAACUGACCCAUAAUUAUUCUCUUAUCUGCAAUGACUUAGCAGGUGAGAAAGAGGAAAGCAGUUCCUGACAUCUGGGAGCUGGCCUGACACAGCUAGGCUUUGGAAUUAUUAGGAUCUGACCUGGGCUCACAGGUACUGUUGGACACAAUCUCACAAAACACCAAUAUCAGACAAGACUACUCAGUGACUGUGAUGAAGUGAGGCAAAAAACAAGAUCACUUCACAAUUUUGUUUAAGCACUAGACAAGGUCAGUGUGCAAACCACAAAACACCAAACAUCCCCCUCUCCCAGCUAAUGCAGCUUCAGCUUCACUUUAGUCUGCCCUUUUUCUAGAGAAGAUAAAGAUAUGCAAUUAUAAAAUUUUCCCUGCUUCCCUGACAGCACUCAAUUUAGAGUGAAGCUCCACUUCCUUGAACCUUCCCCCGACUCACUUAAUGAAGUUCAAGUCCUGUAGGGUCCUUCCUAACACCCUCUUGCAAGACACACCGUGGUUCCAAAUGGCAUCCUCUCUCCAUCACUGCAAUGAGCAUUAAACCCAACUUGUUCAAUUGCAGGUGUAUUCCUGGUGGUCUUUAGCUGGAGCACGUUAAUAAAGUACAUACGACAUCUACAGUUUCCCAAAUCUAUCUCUUUAGAGAUACUUGGCAAAAAAAUAAUAAAGUUAGCUUGUCAGGGUUUGGCUAGGAUGAAUUCAUGUUGAUAUCUAUGAUCACAUUUGUCUAAAUGCUCAUAAACCAUCUCUUUUAAUAAACCAGAAUUGUGCCAGAAAAUCAACAUCAGGCUUAUCAAUAUGUGGUUUUUAGAAUCCACAAACAAUAUUUCAGUAUUUGCCCAUUUUUAGUCUUUCGUGCUGCAGCACCGCCCCCCCCCCCCUUUUUUUUAAAUGACUGGCCUUAACCUAGCCCACCAUCUCCAACCCCAGGUGUAACCUGAGUGAUCAACCAGACAAGAGAGCAAGAGGUAGCAGCAGAUAUCAUGGGGAAAGAACAAACCAGGAUCACUCUCUCUACCCCCAAAUCCACUGUCCCAUAGACACUUGAGUUGUUUCCCCUCCAUCAGCCAUGAGCUGAGGAGGAACUGAGGUUUGGCUACUGAGACCCUUGGCCUUACUGACUCUUAAUUGGAUUUAAAACCUCUGUGGUUCUAUGUGGAGGCAGAGGGAAGAAAGGGACGAACCCUGAGGCUUGUGUCCCCAGAAGAACUCUCCUUUCCCCAGCACCUCUUAAGCCUUGAAGGCUUAAGGCACUGGUGACUGAGGAAGGGAUGGGGUAGGAGUUACAUCAACUGCUGUCAACUCAGAGAGCAACUGCCACCUGCCCUGCUCUGUUUGAAUAAGGGAAGGAUCUGUCGAUACAUAUCCCAUUCCCAUGUCCCAGCACAUCCACCCUUCUUAGUACCUGCCCCCUAAAUGACCCUAGGAGCCCUGGUUACUAAGGCAACCUGUGAAUAGUUCCUGCAGAUAGAAACCAAAACAGAUGGGACUAUUUUUAAACAAGACUAGGUGGCUCCAAUGUUUUUACCUCACAACAUACCUUCCCCAAAGCCCCAUCUGAUCUUGUUCUGGGUCCCUACCCUUCUUCACUGGCCUCCAUCCAUCCUUACCACUAUGUGAGAGUGGGGUCUUUAUUUCAUUUUGGCAGGAGAUCAAUUUACUGCUCCCAUCUUCCACACAGAAUAUCUAAGCAAGUUUUCACUGCCUCCAUUUGUUAAAAAUAUAUUUUUUUAUUUCUUUGGAACGUGGUGGGCCCUGCCCUAUGGAUGUCCAGGCCAAGCCAAGGUAAUGAAUGCUCCCCUAGUCUUUGGGCUGGAGUACUAUGGUCCCCGCCUUCCCAUGGGCCCAGGAGCAGUUCCUGUAUUGUCCAACUCAGCUAGGCCCCAAAUUGUCUGAAGGCUCCUAUCAGGCCUUCUCUCCUGGCCACCCACUUCCCAAUCUUUCCUGGCUUCCCCUCUGGGCAGGGUAUUUUUUUCUUCCAAAGCCAGUGCUGGAACCUGUGCUGUGCAGAAGAGAGGACAAGACCAACGAUGUCCCCCAAAUUCCCAUCAGAGAACACACAACCCCUCAGUCAGUCCUUCCUCUGCUGGCUUCAGUCUGCAUUCCUAUGCAAGCCCCCUCUGUGAGGCUAGAAGAUGGACAAGAGGACCCUCAUAAAAGGGAGCAGUACCUCGUUGGUGGCCAGAAGGUUGCUGACCUGCUUCUUUAGCUCCUCUACCCGCUUCCUGAGCAUGGCAUUCUCUUCCUCUAGUAGCCUGCACUCCACCCCUCGGGGUGGAGCCAGGCUGUAUUCAUAUGAUUCAAAAUGGGGGCCAUCUGGAGGGCAGCAUCCACCUCGCCGGCGCUUGGGGCCUGGCUCAUGGUCCUCAAAGCCCCUGUCAGGGAGGUCGUAGAUAUCAUAGAGGUCAUGACGUCGUCCUGGGGGAACUGGGCCUGUUGAGCCCCCACCACCAGCACCUCCUCCACCUCGGGCAUCAAACUCAAAAUCCCGCUGCAGGUGACGGAACUUGCACUUGGCGCCUCUCUGGCAAUCACCCUUGAGAAAGUCACGGCAGAUAGGGACCUCCUCCUUCCCAUUUGGUAGGUCAGCUGGUGAAAGGCCCAGGCCGGCUGCCACUUUCUGCCUCAGCCGAGGGGGCAGUUCUCCUGUCUUCUUAUAGCCAUCCUCAUCCUCCUUGGAGCCAUGGAUGAAUCGGCAGUUUGGGCGGCUACACUCCUUGUUCUGGAAGUCAUGGCAGAAGAUGAACUCGUUUUUGCUCACCCCCAAGUUGGACACCUCACUCAUGUCCGGAUGGCGAUAGCGGCAACGCUUGCCUCGCUUGCACACAUUCCUCAGGAAGUCUCUACAGAUAGCAUCUGAGCUGGCCCCGCCACUGCCUGCCCCUGUCCCACUGGCCUCCUCGCUGCCACCGCCUCCAGGGCCUCCACCGCUGCUCCCAGUGCCGUUGGCAUAGCUGUCCCGGUCAGGCAUCCUGGUCCCCCCCAACUCAGGGCUUUCUUCCUUUUCUUGCCACCCUUGGUGACUGCUAGGAAAGAGGAGAGCUGUGUCAAACAGGAGUCCUCCAGUGAGGCCAAACUCUUGCUGACUGUACGGCAGGCAGUCCAGCAAGAGGCAGGCCAGAGGCAUAAUGGCUCUGGAGAUGGAGAAUCUAACAGAUGAGAAUUCUGCCUGGACUGGCUGGCUUGUCAGAAGUCUUGCCCAGGCCCUGUGCACCUGGUCUAGGUCAGAAUGAUUCACACUUGCCUGGCUGUCGGAGGGAGGGAGCUGGGGUGAAGCUACCUCAUCUCACUAAUGGUGAUAUGCCAAGGAGAGAGCAGGGAGAGA